CGGCCAAUUUACUGUGUGGGUUGGAUAUACGGUACUUAAAAGCUAUGAAUAUACUUAGCACGCAUAUCCUCUAUUACUGGGGCAUUACUGAGUGUUAUUCCUCCUAAACUGUGGAGACUCAAUAUUGAUCCUCCUGAUGGUAGUACUGCUUCAUUUGAUGUUGAUGAGAGAUGGUGGGACCAGGUUGAACUGACUAGACUAGAUCUAUCAUCUAAUGAAAUCAAAGAAAUGUCACUGAAGAUAUUAAAAACUUUAAUUCAUUGUCAGCGCUUGAGUUUAGUUUGUUGUUUAUUUUGUGAUCAAACUGGAUAAACUUAGUCUAUCUAAAAUAUUUGCAAGGGAUAGUCGCAGACUGUAGUUGACAAUAAAUAU